CGAGUGCUGAGAUUAAAGACAUGUGCCACCACUACCCAGGCAUUUACUUUUGAGAGAUGAUUUUAUGUAGGUGUCAAACUUACUGUAUAGCUAAGGACCCAAUACUCCUGCUUCUGCUUCCCAAGUACUGAGAUUGCAGGCAUGCACAACCAUCCCUGUUAUUUUUUUUUCCAGGUGCUAACAUUCCAUCCCUGGUUUGUAUGGUGCUGGGGGAUUGAACCUAGGUCCUUGGUCAUGCUGGGCCUGCAAGGUGCCCACCAUGGAGCACGGCUCACCUCUCUUGGAUGAAGCCCAGAGAGCCCUCGGUGCACAGACCGUAGGAAAUCACCCAGCUGAAGAGCUCAUUUUCUUUCAGGAUCAGUGUUGGAAGCUGCUGCGAUUCAAACGAGCAAAUGUUAGCUUCGAGAGGAAAUUGAUAAUUAUGCGAGGUCUGUUAAAUGAUCGUUGGCCAAGCACAUUUCAUUCCUUCAAAUGAGCUCGUGUCUACAGUUGUGGCAAUCGUUCACAGGCCAGGAAAGAAAACCAGCUCAGAUGAGGAUGGGCAUCACUUCCAAUAGGUCGUCGAGGUUCGAAGCACCUGGAAAGAAGUCAUCCGUUGGAGGCUGCAAACCAGAUUUAGUUGUAAUGUGAAUGAUUAGCCUAUAUUAACUCAUAAAUUAGAUACAUUAUCCUAAACUGCACUGAAUAAAUAUUGAGUAUGUAA